rnacentral:tRNA from 1 species
CGGUUUGUAGUUUAAUUGGCAAAACAUAGUUCUCAUGAAGCUACCAAUGUAGGUUCAACCCCUGCCAAACCGAG